CACGCAGGUGGCUGAGUCAGUCGAUUGUGAAAGCCCUGGGCUUAACCUGGGAAUUGCAGUCGAUACUACUUAGCUAGAGUAUGGGAGAGGGUAGUGGAAUUCCCGGUGUAGCGGUGAAAUGCGUAGAUAUCGGGAGGAACAUCAGUGGCGAAGGCGGCUACCUGGCCCAAUACUGACACUCAGGUGCGACAGCGUGGGAGCAAACA
rnacentral:rRNA from 1 species